GCAUAUCAAAAAGCGGAGGAAAAGAAACCAACAGGGAUUGCCUUAGUAGCGGCGAGUGAAGCGGCAAAAGCUCAAAUUUGAAAUCUGGCUCUUUCAGAGUCCGAGUUGUAAUUUGAAGAAGGUAUCUUUGGGUCUGGCUCUUGUCUAUGUUUCUUGGAACAGAACGUCACAGAGGGUGAGAAUCCCGUGCGAUGAGAUGAUCCAGGCCUAUGUAAAGUUCCUUCGAAGAGUCGAGUUGUUUGGGAAUGCAGCUCUAAGUGGGUGGUAAAUUCCAUCUAAAGCUAAAUAUUGGCGAGAGACCGAUAGCGAACAAGUACAGUGAUGGAAAGAUGAAAAGAACUUUGAAAAGAGAGUGAAAAAGUACGUGAAAUUGUUGAAAGGGAAGGGCUUGAGAUCAGACUUGGUAUUUUGUAUGUUACUUCUUCGGGGGUGGCCUCUACAGUUUAUCGGGCCAGCAUCAGUUUGGGCGGUAGGAGAAUUGCGUUGGAAUGUGGCACGGCUUCGGUUGUGUGUUAUAGCCUUCGUCGAUACUGCCAGCCUAGACUGAGGACUGCGGUUUAUACCUAGGAUGUUGGCAUAAUGAUCUUAAGUCGCCCGUCUUGAAACACGGACC
rnacentral:rRNA from 1 species